GUCAUUUCUCUACACUGCAGGUAUAGCUGUUACCUUUCUUCCAUAUCAAUUCAAACUGACUACUGUGGCAGAAGGCACAGCAUUUUCAUUUAGAGGAAGAAGAGAAGCACCAGCAAUGGGAUCUGAAGCUUGAGCACCAUUCAAAACUUGUUGAGCACCCUGUGAAUGGUCUGGGGAGUUUGUGACGGGAUUAGGCGGAUAAAUUGCUUGAAGUCCUGCUUGUCCACAUAUAGGGUGGUGACCUUCAACACACUUGAGCGCUGACUUGUGCUGUUUACCCGAAAGAUGUUGUCUCAGAAUCUCCCGUGUGUCACAUUGCACAUUGCACAGGUCACACAUCAAAGGAAUUACAACAUUAGAAUUGGAAGGUUCAGUCGCCAGCCUCUUUGCUUUAGAAGCUUUCUUUUUCUUCCUUCCACCAACUAAUGUCUUACGUUUCACACUGGACCUCUGAUUUCCAGGUUGAUUCAUCAUGGGCUUAUCCGGC
rnacentral:misc_RNA from 1 species